rnacentral:rRNA from 1 species
GUGAACGCUGGCGGUAGGCCUAACACAUGCAAGUCGAACGGCAGCACAGUAAGAGCUUGCUCUUACGGGUGGCGAGUGGCGGACGGGUGAGGAAUACAUCGGAAUCUACUUUUUCGUGGGGGAUAACGUAGGGAAUCUUACGCUAAUACCGCAUACGACCUACGGGUGAAAGCAGGGGAUCUUCGGACCUUGCGCGAUUGAAUGAGCCGAUGUCGGAUUAGCUAGUUGGCGGGGUAAAGGCCCACCAAGGCGACGAUCCGUAGCUGGUCUGAGAGGAUGAUCAGCCACACUGGAACUGAGACACGGUCCAGACUCCUACGGGAGGCAGCAGUGGGGAAUAUUGGACAAUGGGCGCAAGCCUGAUCCAGCCAUACCGCGUGGGUGAAGAAGGCCUUCGGGUUGUAAAGCCCUUUUGUUGGGAAAGAAAAGCAGCAGGUUAAUACCCCGCUGUUCUGACGGUACCCAAAGAAUAAGCACCGGCUAACUUCGUG